rnacentral:rRNA from 1 species
UACGGAGGAUGCGAGCGUUAUCCGGAUUUAUUGGGUUUAAAGGGUGCGCAGGCGGCCUGUUAAGUCAGCGGUAAAAGCCCGGGGCUCAACCCCGGCGAGCCGUUGAAACUGGCGGGCUGGAGUUGGAGAGAAGUACGCGGAAUGCGCGGUGUAGCGGUGAAAUGCUUAGAUAUCGCGCAGAACCCCGAUUGCGAAGGCAGCUUACCAAACUAUAUCUGACGUUGAGGCACGAAAGCGUGGGUAGCAAACAGG